rnacentral:rRNA from 1 species
AACGAACGCUGGCGGCAUGCCUAACACAUGCAAGUCGAACGAGACCUUCGGGUCUAGUGGCGCACGGGUGCGUAACGCGUGGGAACCUGCCCUUAGGUUCGGAAUAACUCCCCGAAAGGGGUGCUAAUACCAGAUAAUGUCUUCGGACCAAAGAUUUAUCGCCUUUGGAUGGGCCCGCGUUGGUUUAGCUAGUUGGUAGGGUAAAAGCCUACCAAGGCGACGAUCCAUAGCUGGUCUGAGAGGAUGAUCAGCCACACUGGGACUGAGACACGGCCCAGACUCCUACGGGAGGCAGCAGUGGGGAAUAUUGGACAAUGGGCGAAAGCCUGAUCCAGCAAUGCCGCGUGAGUGAUGAAGGCCUUAGGGUUGUAAAGCUCUUUUACCCGGGAUGAUAAUGACAGUACCGGGAGAAUAAGCUCCGGCUAACUCCGUG